rnacentral:rRNA from 1 species
UACGUAGGGGCCUAGCGUUGUUCGGAUUCAUUGGGCGUAAAGGGUGCGUAGGUGGCGAGGUAAGUCAGGUGUGAAAUCUCGGGGCUCAACCCCGAAACUGCACUUGAUACUGCCUUGCUCGAGUACUGGAGAGGAGAUUGGAAUUUACGGUGUAGCAGUGAAAUGCGUAGAUAUCGUAAGGAAGACCAGUGGCGAAGGCGAAUCUCUGGACAGUUACUGACACUGAGGCACGAAGGCCAGGGGAGCAAACGGG